rnacentral:rRNA from 1 species
UAACGGCGAGUGAACCGGGAUGAGCUCAAAUUUGAAAUCUGGCGUCUUUCAGGCGUCCGAGUUGUAAUCUAUAGAGGCGUUUUCCGCGCCGGACCGCGUCCAAGUCUCUUGGAAUAGAGUAUCAAAGAGGGUGACAAUCCCGUACUUGACGCGACAACCGGUGCUCUGUGAUACGUUCUCAACGAGUCGAGUUGUUUGGGAAUGCAGCUCUAAAUGGGUGGUAAAUUCCAUCUAAGGCUAAAUAUUGGCGAGAGACCGAUAGCGAACAAGUACCGUGAGGGAAAGAUGAAAAGCACUUUGGAAAGAGAGUUAAACAGCACGUGAAAUUGUUAAAAGGGAAACGAUUGAAGUCAGUCGUGUGAAAGGUAUUCAGCCGUCUCUGGCGGUGUAUUUGCCUUUCACGGGUCAACAUCAGUUUAGUCCGGUAGAAAAAGGCUGGAGGAAGGUGGCACCCUCGGGUGUGUUAUAGCCUCCUGUCACAUGUGCCGGAUUAGACUGAGGAACGCAGCUUGCAGCAAUGCCGGGGUUCGCCCACGUACAAGCUUAGGAUGUUGACAUAAUGGCUUUAAA